rnacentral:rRNA from 1 species
CAGCCGCCACGGUAACACCAGCAGCCCAAGUGGUGGUCGCGAUUAUUGGGCCUAAAGCGCUCGUAGCCGGGCCGGUAAGUCCCUUGUGAAAUCGGACGGCCUAACCGUUCGGCGUGCAAGGGAUACUGUCGGUCUUGAGGCCGGGAGACGUCCGAGGUACUCCGGGGGUAGCGGUGAAAUGUUCUAAUCCUCGGGGGACCACCGGUGGCGAAGGCGUUCGACGAGAACGGGCCUGACGGUGAGGGGCGAAGGCUAGGGGAGCAAACGGGAUUAGAUACCCCCGUAGUCCCUGUCUCUUAUU